UCAGACGAUGCGUCAUGCAUAUCAAUAAGCGGAGGAAAAGAAACUAACAAGGAUUCCCCUAGUAACGGCGAGUGAAGCGGGAAGAGCUCAAAUUUGAAAUCUUAAAGAGUUUCCCUUACGAAUUGUAGUUUAAAGAAGUGUUUUCUGUUGAGGUUUUGGUAAAAGUUCUUUGGAAUAGGACAUCAUAGAGGGUGAGAAUCCCGUAUUUGACCUUUACUUUCAACUCUGUGAUACACUUUCAAGGAGUCGGAUUGUUUGGGAAUGCAGUCCAAAAUGGGUGGUAAAUUUCAUCUAAAGCUAAAUAUUGGCGAGAGACCGAUAGCGAACAAGUACCGUGAGGGAAAGAUGAAAAGAACUUUGAAAAGAGAGUUAAACAGUACGUGAAAUUGUCAAAAGGGAAGCGUUUGACACCAGUGUUGUUUUUCUGAAAAUCAAUUAAAGAACUGUUUAUGCUAAGUUGUUUAGACUUUAUCAGCUAACUGUUUAGUUUUGAGCUUUUCUUUAAUGCACUUUUCAGUUAACAAGUCAACAUCAAUUUCUUUUGCUGUAAAAAAGCUUGAGGAAGGUGGCUUGAGAUUCGUCUUAAGUGUUUAUAGCCUCUUGCCUAUGCAGUCGGAGAGAUUGAGGUCUGCAGCGUAGAUCCUUCGGGGCUAAAUGCAUUUGUGCUAAGUUAUAGCAUUUUAUAGACAACUUGUUGACUAUGAUUUGUCUUGUAGCUUACUCGCUUAUGUUAUUUUACCUACGCUUAGGAUGUUGAAUCUGUGCGAGACUAC
rnacentral:rRNA from 1 species